rnacentral:misc_RNA from 1 species
GAUGAAGAACGUAGCGAAAUGCGAUACGUAAUGUGAAUUGCAGAAUUCAGUGAAUCAUCGAAUCUUUGAACGCACAUUGCACUCUCUGGUAUUCCUGAGAGUAUGCUUGUUUGAGUAUCUGUAAACAUCUCAAAUCUCUCUUCAAUUGCUUCAAUUGGGUCGAGAGAAUUGGAUUUGAGCGAUCCCGACUCCUUCGUCAGAAAGAGGAGGGUCGCUUGAAAUGCAGGUGCAGCUGGACAUUCUUCUGAGCAAAAAGCAUAUCUAUUUAGUCCCGUCAAACGGAUUAUUACUUUUGCUUCAGCUAAUAUAAAGGUUGAAUGAACUACCAACGCUGAUUGCAGGAAAACAUGUUCGUUUAUUCGGACUUGUAAACUCGAUCUCAAAUCAAGUAAGACUACCCGCUGAACUUAAGCAUAUCAAUAAGCGGAGGA